rnacentral:rRNA from 1 species
CCCUAUGGGGUGCAGCAGGGCGAAGUCCGCAAAGGCCCGAUGUUUUAUGGGGGAAUCAAUGUCUGGCUGCAGCAGCAUCUGGGGAUUUUCCGCAAAACGCCGCGAUGGCUGGAUCGGUUAUUUGACGGCCAGAAACUAUUAGCGAAGGUUUCGACUAAAACCGGUUUAGCCAGCGCCAGAGAGUUGGGCCAGACGACGCUUUCCAUGCUGCGGGGUACUGACGGCAAACAAGUCAAAGAGCUGAAUCGGAUGCUGGAGUGGCUUAAAUUGCCGGAAAAUCGGCCGGAGGCGGUGAUUUUAUCCAAUGCGCUUCUUAUGGGACUUGCCGGGCCUAUUCGAAAAAGGCUUGGAUGUGCGGUGGUGUGCCUGUUGCAGGAUGAGGAUGGGUUUGUUGACGGGCGGGGGAGC